rnacentral:rRNA from 1 species
GCGGCGAACGGGUGAGUAACACGUGAGUAAUCUGCCCUUGGCUUUGGGAUAGCCACCGGAAACGGUGAUUAAUACCGGAUACGACCACUUCUCGCAUGGGAUGGUGGUGGAAAGUUUUUCGGCCAGGGAUGUGCUCGCGGCCUAUCAGCUUGAUGGUGAGGUAAUGGCUCACCAUGGCUUCGACGGGUAGCCGGCCUGAGAGGGUGACCGGUCACACUGGGACUGAGACACGGCCCAGACUCCUACGGGAGGCAGCAGUGGGGAAUAUUGGACAAUGGGCGGAAGCCUGAUCCAGCAACGCCGCGUGAGGGAUGACGGCCUUCGGGUUGUAAACCUCUUUCGGUGGGGACGAAGCGCAAGUGACGGUACCCACUAAAGAAGCACCGGCCAACUACGUGCCAGCAGCCGCGGUAAUACGUAGGGUGCGAGCGUUGUCCGGAAUUAUUGGGCGUAAAGGGCUCGUAGGCGGUUUGUCGCGUCGGGAGUGAAAACCAGGUGCUUAACACCUGGCUUGCUUUCGAUACGGGCAGACUAGAGGUAUUCAGGGGAGAACGGAAUUCCUGGUGUAGCGGUGAAAUGCGCAGAUAUCAGGAGGAACACCGGUGGCGAAGGCGGUUCU